rnacentral:misc_RNA from 1 species
GGACUACAGGGGUUUCUAAUCCUGUUCGCUACCCACGCUUUCGUCCAUCAGCGUCAAUAUAUUAGUAGUAACCUGCCUUCGCAAUUGGUAUUCCAUGUAAUCUCUAAGCAUUUCACCGCUACACUACAUAUUCUAGUUACUUCCUAAUAAUUCAAGUCAGACAGUAUCAAUGGCCGUUCCACCGUUGAGCGAUGGGCUUUCACCACUGACUUAUCUGACCGCCUACGGACCCUUUAAACCCAAUGAUUCCGGAUAACGCUUGGAUCCUCCGUAUUACCGCGGCGGCUGGCAC